rnacentral:rRNA from 1 species
ANNNNNANCCAUNNANNNNNANGUAUAAGCAUUAUACAGCGAAACUGCGAAUGGCUCAUUAUAUAAGUUAUCGUUUAUUUGAUAGUACCUUACUACUUGGAUAACCGUGGUAAUUCUAGAGCUAAUACAUGCUAAAAAUCCCGACUUCGGAAGGGAUGUAUUUAUUAGAUUAAAAACCAAUGCCCUUCGGGGCUCCUUGGUGAUUCAUGAUAACUUCUCGAAUCGCAUGGCCUUGUGCCGGCGAUGGUUCAUUCAAAUUUCUUCCCUAUCAACUUUCGAUGUUUGGGUAUUGGCCAAACAUGGUUGCAACGGGUAACGGAGGGUUAGGGCUCGACCCCGGAGAAGGAGCCUGAGAAACGGCUACUACAUCCAAGGAAGGCAGCAGGCGCGCAAAUUACCCAAUCCCGACACGGGGAGGUAGUGACAAUAAAUACUGAUACAGGGCUCUUUAGGGUCUUGUAAUUGGAAUGAGUACAAUUUAAAUCUCUUAACGAGGAACAAUUGGAGGGCAAGUCUGGUGCCAGCAGCCGCGGUAAUUCCAGCUCCAAUAGCGUAUAUUAAAGUUGUUGUGGUUAAAAAGCUCGUAGUUGAACCUUGGGCCUGGCUGGCCGGUCCGCCUCACCGCGUGUACUGGUCCGGCCGGGCCUUUCCCUCUGUGGAACCUCAUGCCCUUCACUGGGUGUGGCGGGGAAACAGGACUUUUACUUUGAAAAAAUUAGAGUGCUCCAGGCAGGCCUAUGCUCGAAUACAUUAGCAUGGAAUAAUAGAAUAGGACGUGUGGUUCUAUUUUGUUGGUUUCUAGGACCGCCGUAAUGAUUAAUAGGGACAGUCGGGGGCAUCAGUAUUCAAUUGUCAGAGGUGAAAUUCUUGGAUUUAUUGAAGACUAACUACUGCGAAAGCAUUUGCCAAGGAUGUUUUCAUUAAUCAGGAACGAAAGUUAGGGGAUCGAAGACGAUCAGAUACCGUCGUAGUCUUAACCAUAAACUAUGCCGACUAGGGAUCGGACGGUGUUAUUUUUUGACCCGUUCGGCACCUUACGAGAAAUCAAAGUGCUGGCUCCNGGGNNNNNNGNNNNANNNUNAANUAG